rnacentral:snRNA from 1 species
AUCGCUUGUCGGGUUUUUGGCUAAGAUCAAGCGUAAUAUCUGUUCUUAUCAGUUUACUCUCUGAAGACAACAUAUUAAAUGCAUUUUCGGAGCAGGGAGAUGGAAUAGGGGCUUCCCCAUCCACUGCUCCAGGUUUGCUUUGAAUCUUUCCUCUG